UUUAGCAAGGAAACUAUUUAAGCUUUGAUGGAAACUGCUCACUUGAUGGAUGACAUCUUGUUAUAGUGAUUUUGAGAAUUGUAAUGAACCACUGUGUAAUGGACACAGUGCAUCAGCCUCUGAAGAGGUCCUCUCAAAGUAAAGAGAUGGGGAUUUGGGACAUAAAUCUCAGCAAGGAUUCCAGAUCGAAUUCUGUGCAUCUCUGAGUGGAAGAAUCCUGUCUCCCACCAUCAGGAAUACUGGGGGACAUUGCAGAAGAGACAGAAAACAUGAGGGAGGAAGUAGAGAUCUUACUGUAUUGAAAGAGAAAGAGAUACAAAGGAAUAUGGGAUAUAGGAAGAAAGAAGCAAGAAACAGGCCCUAAAGACUCAAUGUGAUCUGUUAUCAGAAAGAAAAAACAAACAACAGAACGAAGCCAGAAAAUAAGGUCUUUAUAAUUAAAAUAGUAAAAGAUGUAGCAAG